rnacentral:rRNA from 1 species
CAGGGUAAGUCGGGACCUAAGGCGAGGCCGAAAGGCGUAGUCGAAGGACAACAGGUUGAAAUUCCUGUACCACCGUAAACCGUUAUGAGCAAUGGGGUGACGCAGAAGGAUAGGGACGCGAGCUGAUGGAUGCUCGUCCAAGCAGUGAGGCUGAUGUGUAGGCAAAUCCGCACAUCAUUAAAGCUAGGCUGUGAUGGGGAGGGAAAAUUACAGUACCGAAGGUCUUGAUUUCAGGCUGCCAAGAAAAGCCUCUAGCCAGGUGAAGGUGCCCGUACCGCAAACCGACACAGGUAGGCGAGAUGAGUAUUCUAAGGCGCGCGGAAGAACUCUCGUUAAGGAACUCGGCAAAAUGACCCCGUAACUUCGGGAGAAGGGGUGCCUCGGUAGGGUGAAUAGCCCGAGGGGGCCGCAGUGAAAAGGCCCAAGCGACUGUUUAGCAAAAACACAGGUCUGUGCGAAGCCGCAAGGCGAAGUAUACGGGCUGACGCCUGCCCGGUGCUGGAAGGUUAAGGGGAGUGGUUAGCCGCAAGGCGAAGCUAUGAACCGAAGCCCCAGUAAACGGCGGCCGUAACUAUAACGGUCCUAAGGUAGCGAAAUUCCUUGUCAGGUAAAUUCUGACCCG